rnacentral:rRNA from 1 species
AGGCUUGAAUGAACGGUUUGAUGAGAGAUAUACUGUCUUUUUUUUAUAUUGUGAAUUUAACUUUUAAGUGAAAAGGCUUAAAUUAUUUAGUGGGACGAUAAGACCCUAUAAAAUUUAAUAUAAUAAUAGUUAAAUUUAUAAAUUAAUAAAYAAAAUGAUUUACUCUUAUUAUAUUUUGUUGGGAAGACAUCUAUAUAAUAUGUAACUGUUGUUAAAAUUUAAUAAUUAUAGUUAGUUAUUUGAUCCUUUACUAUGGAUUAUAAGAUCAAGUUACUUUAGGGAUAACAGCGUAAUUUUCUUUGAAAGUUCUUAUCGACAAGAUUAGUUGCGACCUCAAUGUUGAAUUAAAAUUUCAGGAAGGUGUACUCUUUUUCCUAGUGGGUCUGUUCGACCUUUAAAAUUUU